AUCAGAUCUUUCAUUGAGAAACUAAGUUGGUAAGAAUACAUGUAUGCAGUUAUGCCAGAAUUUAAUAAAAUAGAAAAAAAAUGACAGCAUGAGAUAAGGCUGAACUUAAACAAAUCCUGGGCAAUCAAACUAAAUCUCACUGAAGAAGUAUUUCAAAUGCUACCUGACCUUCUGAGUUCCUCCACCAUUUUGUGUGUGUUGAAGCACUUAAAACUUGUUCAGCUGGAAAUUUUUCAUGGACAGAUUCACCUACCAGUGACGGAUUGGAGGUAAUUCAAUGUGGAGGAACCAAGGCGAGGUGAUGCAGUGCGCCUGCCACUGAGAGCGAGGAAGACGUGAUGUUCGAUCGAUAUAAGCGCCAGGCUGAAUGGGAAAGGGUGAGUACAGGCUGAAUCGAGGCGGCAGGCUCCAGGCCACAUCAAGGCAGCAGGGUCUAGGCCCUAGAGCAUAUCAAGGCAACUAAACCCAAUGUUUGGAUGACAAUUUCGAUGCUGGCCAGAUUGAAUAAGUCAGUGUAUCAGGACCUGAGGUAAAGAACAGGCCAGUUCAGCUCGACGCUCCAUGAUAUUUACUUGGCUUUGUGCUGAAAUAAGGGUCUGGGUAUGGACUCUGUGGAUUUCACAACGCUACUUGCUCGCACAAACUUGUUUGCAUGAUUUGUUUUUUUUUGUAAAUUAGGUGUUCAACAGUCUUUUUUAUGUGUUCCUUAGCAUUUCUUUGUUACGAAUCUCAAGUUUGUAUAAUGUAUACACACUGAUAAUAAAAGUACUUGGAACUUCGGACGGCCCCACUA